UACCCGGUGGUGUAAUUGGUAACACAUAGGCUUUUGGUGCCUACAUUCCAGGUUCAAGUCCUGGCCGGGUAG
rnacentral:tRNA from 1 species